rnacentral:rRNA from 1 species
UACGUAGGGUGCAAGCGUUAAUCGGAAUUACUGGGCGUAAAGCGUGCGCAGGCGGUUCGCUAAGACAGAUGUGAAAUCCCCGGGCUUAACCUGGGAACUGCAUUUGUGACUGGCGGGCUAGAGUAUGGCAGAGGGGGGUAGAAUUCCACGUGUAGCAGUGAAAUGCGUAGAGAUGUGGAGGAAUACCGAUGGCGAAGGCAGCCCCCUGGGCCAAUACGUGACGCUCAUGCACGAAAGCGUGGGGAGCAAAC